rnacentral:rRNA from 1 species
GUGCCAGCAGCCGCGGUAAUACAGAGGUGUCAAGCGUUGCUCGGUGUCACUGGGCUUAAAGGGCGCGUAGGCGGUGCAGCACGGUCCGGGUGAAAUCCCUCGGCCCAACCGAGGAAUUGCCCGGGCGACGGCUGCGCUGGACUGCAUCAGGGGCGGAUGGAACUCCCGGUGGAGCGGUGAAAUGCGUAGAUAUCGGGAGGAACGCCGGUGGCGAAAGCGAUCCGCUGGGGUGCAUGUGACGCUGAGGCGCGAAAGCCAGGGGAGCAAACGGGAUUAGAUACCCCGGUAGUCC